rnacentral:rRNA from 1 species
UACGUAGGGUGCAAGCGUUUGUCCGGAAUUUAUUUGGGCGUAAAGAGCUCGUAGGCGGUUUUGUCGCGUUCUGCUGUGAAAACCCGAGGCUCAACCUCGGGCCUGCAGUGGGUACGGGCAGACUAGAGUUGCGGUAGGGGGAGAUUGGAAUUCCUGGUGUAGCGGUGGAAUGCGCAGAUAUCAGGAGGAACACCAAUGGCGAAGGCAGAUCUCUGGGCCGUAACUGACGCUGAGGAGCGAAAGCAUGGGGAGCGAACAGG